GACGAACGCUGGCGGCGUGCUUAACACAUGCAAGUCGAGCGGUAAGGCCCUUUCGGGGGUACACGAGCGGCGAACGGGUGAGUAACACGUGGGUGACCUGCCCUCAGCUCUGGGAUAAGCCUGGGAAACCGGGUCUAAUACUGGAUAUGACUCCAUGACGCAUGUUGUGGGGUGGAAAGCCUUGUGCGGCUGAGGAUGGGCCCGCGGCCUAUCAGCUUGUUGGUGGGGUGANGGGCCUACCAAGGCGACGACGGGUAGCCGGCCUGAGAGGGCGACCGGCCACACUGGGACUGAGACACGGCCCAGACUCCUACGGGAGGCAGCAGUGGGGAAUCUUGCGCAAUGGGCGAAAGCCUGACGCAGCGACGCCGCGUGAGGGAUGACGGCCUCGG
rnacentral:rRNA from 1 species